AGAGUUUGAUCCUGGCUCAGGACGAACGCUGGCGGCGCGCCUAACACAUGCAAGUCGAGCGAGAACCAGGGCUUCGGCCCUGGGGACAGCGGCGAACGGGUGAGUAACACGUGGAUAACCUGCCCUCGGCACCGGAAUAGCCCGGGGAAACCCGGAUUAAUGCCGGAUAGCCCCACAUCCCUGCGGGGAACGUGGGAAAAGGUAGCUUCGGCCUCUGGCCGAGGAUGGGUCCGCGGUGGAUUAGCUUGUUGGCGGGGUAACGGCCCACCAAGGCGACGAUCCAUAGCUGGUCUGAGAGGACGAUCAGCCACACUGGGACUGAGACACGGCCCAGACUCCUACGGGAGGCAGCAGUGGGGAAUCUUGCGCAAUGGGCGAAAGCCUGACGCAGCGACGCCGCGUGCGGGAAGAAGGCCUUCGGGUUGUAAACCGCUUUCAGGAGGGACGAAGCCACUCGGGUUAAUAGCCCAGAGGGUGACGGUACCUCCAGAAGAAGCCCCGGCUAACUACGUGCCAGCAGCCGCGGUA
rnacentral:rRNA from 1 species